rnacentral:misc_RNA from 1 species
GAUGAAGAACGUAGUGAAAUGCGAUAAUUAAUGUGAAUUGCAGAAUUCAGUGAAUCAUCGAGUCUUUGAACGCACAUUGCGCCCCCUGGUAUUCCGGGGGGCAUGCCUGUCCGAGCGUCAUUGCUGCCCUCAAGCACGGCUUGUGUGUUGGGCUUCCGUCCCUGGCAACGGGGACGGGCCCAAAAGGCAGUGGCGGCACCAUGUCUGGUCCUCGAGCGUAUGGGGCUUUGUCACCCGCUCCCGUAGGUCCAGCUGGCAGCUAGCCUCGCAACCAAUCUUUUUAACCAGGUCGACCUCGGAUCAGGUAGGGAUACCCGCUGAACUUAAGCAUAUCAAUAAGCGGAGGA